GCCAAAGCACCGUUCUAUAUGCUUCUCUGUAUAUAGAACAUAUAAAAAUAAUGUUAGACAAGAAUAUUAAAAGAACGGAAAGCUGUGAUAAUUUUUUUCUUUCUUACAGCAAAUGUUAAAAUGGUAUGAAGAGUAUGGUCUCAUGGUGAUAAAAGAAAAAAUAUGUUUGUAUACACAGAGGAAAGACUAGAAGGUUCUGUACCUGUUAACAGUGACUGAUCCUAGAAGAGCGAAAUUUAGGCCUUCCAUCCCUGAGGAGAGAGUUAAUGGCAGCAAGGAGUAGGGUGAUUUGGUCUUCCCUUCAACCUGUUGCUACCCAACACAAGGACAAUUGGUCUUCCAGCCUCUUCACAGUUCAUUCAGUCAUUGUCCCUGUCUCCCAGGUGCCUCCCCUUCUAUUACGGUGAUAGAAUAUGAAGAGCAGAAUGAUUCAGUUGCAUGUGAUCUUCACAGAGAGCCUUCGAGGUCAGAGUUAUCAUAAUCCUGUUUUAUAGGUGAGGAAAUAAAAACUAAAAGAUGGUAAGUCGUUUGCCUAAAAUUAGGC